rnacentral:lncRNA from 1 species
ACAUCAGGCAUCUGCUGUGGGUGGUGUGGAAGUGUGGCUGCAGCUGAUGGUAUCAGGGCUGCAGCAGCAGAGCUGCAGCUGCUGGAGGAGCUUGAUCACAUGAGAAGUGCCUGGCCAUGGGAUGCCACAGACACCGGAGGCACGAGCAUGGAAAGGGAUUACAGAAGCUUACAGAAAACAGAUUUCUCACUGUCUGCUAAAAAUGUUUCUGAGUCGUCUUCCAGCCCACAAAGUCCAUGAAGUCACUUCUCUGCGCUCGCUCUGUUUCUGUGGUCAGUUUAAAUGAGGUACCUGAGUCGAUCUAACAGCUUGCUGAUGGUACAUGCAGUUCUGCUCCCGUCCUCCUGCAGCUAUUUGUGAGUCUGUGCUGCUUCUGUUGCACCACUUCUGGCAUUCAAUCUGUUCAUUAAACCGGCG